GGCCAACCAAAGGAGAUGGGGCAUGUGGAUCUAGAUGGAAGCAAGGAGAUGGAGUGGCAACACAAGAUGGAAGGCUGAUCUCUAUUUCAUUCUGCACGCCCAAGUCCAAUCCCUUUUUAUAAUUGGCAGCCAAGGGGGUAAGGAUAGAGUUUGGAUGAUCUUAGACUCUUAUUUAAGUUCAAAACAAGCCUUAUCUUAUCCUAGAAGAAGAGAGGAUACAGAUUAUCAGGAGGGGGCACCAAGAGAUGAAUUUGCACCCCUCUCCCUUUCUCCUUCACCAUAUGUGAUGCCAAUUUGAUAUUGGCAUCCACGUGGGAUGACAAAAGAGAGAG
rnacentral:lncRNA from 1 species